rnacentral:lncRNA from 1 species
CAGAGGGCCAGGACACAAUAGUCCUCCAACCAGUGGUCUUGUCUGAGACAAGAGACACCUGACUGCCCCUGGUGAAGGGCAGCAACCUGCUUACAGCCCACUGGGCUCAUUUACAGAGCUACAGCUAAUGUCACUUGAACCAAGACACAGCCCAAGGGCAUGGCCAUCCAUCAGCAGAUGCAGGGCUUCCUGCAUGGAGACCACACUCAAAGAGGCCAAGAACUGGCCUGGGGACACUGGGAUGGAGGAGCCACUGCACCCUCUGCUGCACGUACCAACUGGCCUGCCCCUCUCCAAAUGCCAUUCCUGGCUGGGAUGCUGAGUGCUCUACUCUUGU